UGCAGGCUGCAACCCGCCUGCAUGAAGUCGGAAUCGCUAGUAAUCGCGGAUCAGCAUGCCGCGGUGAAUACGUUCCCGGGCCUUGUACACACCGCCCGUCACACCAUGGGAGCCGGUAAUACCCGAAGUCAGUAGUCCAACCUCGUGAGGACGCUGCCGAAGGUAGGAUUGGCGACUGGGGUGAAGUCGUAACAAGGUAAC
rnacentral:rRNA from 1 species